UACGUAGGUGGCAAGCGUUGUCCGGAUUUACUGGGCGUAAAGAGCGCGCAGGCGGUCGUUCAAGUCGCGUGUGAAAGCCCCCGGCUCAACUGGGGAGGGUCACGCGAUACUGAUCGACUCGAAGGCAGGAGAGGGAAGUGGAAUUCCCGGUGUAGUGGUGAAAUGCGUAGAUAUCGGGAGGAACACCUGUGGCGAAAGCGGCGCACUGGACCAUAACUGACGCUGAGGCGCGAAAGCUAGGGGAGCAAACAGG
rnacentral:rRNA from 1 species